CAGAAUUGCACAUCAGAACACCAUGUGAAUCAGUGGAUGUUAAAGAGUUAAUGUUCUGGUUCCGUUUACUGCCUCCUAUGGGCGUUUUGAGUGUUCUGGUGGGAGGGGAGGGGUAGCUUCCCCGGAGGACUUGGCGCCAAGGGCGAGUGAGGUGGAGCUGCGGGCGGGACGCUGGCCGUCUCUCCCCCCUUCCAGGCCGGCUCAGCUCGCUGCGGAGAAAGGCACGUGCUUCGCUCGGACUUCGGUGCAGUGCUGCAGGACACCAGCCUUGACACACUUCUCCCUUUCCUUGCUGUCCUUCACAUUGUGAAUAAGUGAACCUUCAGCCCUGCAAGCCUUGUACGCAAUUCAAAGUGCAAGAGCCAAUGCACUUGCCAUCAGAAGGACAGAGCAGGACACCUUGCGUUCUGAGGAUGUGAAGAUGUUUGGAGGUGUGAAGAUGGUCAGGAUGAGUCUGAGGACUGUCCUCUGGAAGCAUGUAGAAGAUCUGCAUUCCGGGCUGUCCCUCUCCUUUGGCAGCAUUGCUCCUGAAGUUGACUCUACAAAUGACUGGAAUUGCACACUUAUUUCCCAUCAUUUGCUCACAUCUCACCGCUGGCUGUGUUCAUGCUUUGAAGGAUCAUGGCAGCGCUGCCUUACUGCUCCAGCCUGGUUCAGAGGAAACACAGAAAAUGAAGGGUAUCAGAGGAAGCCUGUGGUGAGAGGAACUGUCAGAACUUCAAGGAAUGGACACGUGCCAAGUAGAGCCAAGGAGUGCCAGAGGAGAUUUCCCAUUGAAGAGAGAGAUGCUUUUCUAGCUUGGAUUUUUUUUCUGUUUUGUGCUGCACUUCUGAAGAAUUCAGGUGGCUGACACAAACAUAAAUCCUUUGGGAGGUCAUUUCCUGAGAAAGGGAGGACUGUGUGGUGGCACAUGUGAAAAUGAGUUGAGAGCAGAAUUAAGCCCUGAGGAAAAAUAUGUCUGCAUCCUGGCUUAACGAAAGUUUAUCACUGGGCAGCCAAUAGGUUGAAUUAAAUUAAGUUCAGGUGAGAAGGAACUAUGAGCAAGAGUGAAUGAAAAAGGUAAAGGAGUUGUUGCAGCUAAAAGAGAAAAAGAAGUGUUUUUUCAUUAACAUAGGGAAAACUAACAGGAAGAACGCAUACCUGUGUACAUAUGUAUGUGUUGGGCAUAGAAGAAUUCACUAAGCCAUCUUUCUAGAAUAACUCUACUGCUAUCAAUGGGGUGGCCUUUUAAAAAUAAAUAAUUUUUUUUCUUUCACCUCUCAUCUCACUUUCAUUGCUGAAAACAACCAAGAGAUAACGGGGAAAACAGUCCUCCAGAAGACAAGAAGAACAUUUCUGCUUCUCCCUCCACACACCCCCCUUCAAAUAUAAGUAGAUCCAUGUGUGCAGAAAAGAGAAAGUUCCUGGAGAAGAACAAAUAAAGUUUUAUUGCUAUGUAAGUACAAGAAUCCGGACUGUAUUGUUGAAGAAAUAUCUUUAUGAAAUGUCUUCUAGCUGGAUCUUUUAAGCUUAAUCUUUUAAAGCUUCUUCUUUUCAAAGAUGGUUCUUCCCUUUAAUGCUGGAUUUUGUUUUAAUAAUGCU
ensembl:lncRNA